rnacentral:rRNA from 1 species
UACGUAGGGGGCAAGCGUUGUCCGGAAUCAUUGGGCGUAAAGAGCGUGUAGGCGGUCCGGUAAGUCGGCUGUGAAAGUCCAGGGCUCAACCCUGGGAUGCCGGUGGAUACUGCUGGGCUAGAGUACGGAAGAGGCGAGUGGAAUUCCCGGUGUAGCGGUGAAAUGCGCAGAUAUCGGGAGGAACACCUAUUGCGAAGGCAGCUCGCCGGGACGUUACUGACGCUGAGACGCGAAAGCGUGGGGAGCAAACAGG